rnacentral:rRNA from 1 species
ACUCCUACGGGAGGCAGCAGUGGGGAAUAUUGCACAAUGGGCGCAAGCCUGAUGCAGCCAUGCCGCGUGUAUGAAGAAGGCCUUCGGGUUGUAAAGUACUUUCAGCAGUGAGGAAGGUGGGUAUGUUAAUAGCAUACUCAUUUGACGUUAGCUGCAGAAGAAGCACCGGCUAACUCCGUGCCAGCAGCCGCGGUAAUACGGAGGGUGCGAGCGUUAAUCGGAAUUACUGGGCGUAAAGCGCAUGCAGGUGGUUUGUUAAGUCAGAUGUGAAAGCCCGGGGCUCAACCUCGGAAUUGCAUUUGAAACUGGCAAACUAGAGUACUGUAGGAGGGGGUUGGAAUUUCGAGGUGUAGCGGUG